AACGCUGGCGGCAGGCUUAACACAUGCAAGUCGAGCGGGGAAAGGUAGCUUGCUACCUGACCUAGCGGCGGACGGGUGAGUAAUGCUUAGGAAUCUGCCUAUUAGUGGGGGACAACAUUCCGAAAGGAAUGCUAAUACCGCAUACCCCCUACGGGGGAAAGCAGGGGAUCUUCGGACCUUGCGCUAAUAGAUGAGCCUAAGUCAAAUUAGCUAGUUGGUGGGGUAAAGGCCUACCAAGGCGACUAUCUGUAGCGGGUCUGAGAGGAUGAUCCGCCACACUGGGACUGAGACACGGCCCACACUCCUACGGGAGGCAGCAGUGGGGAAUAUUGGACAAUGGGCGAAAGCCUGAUCCAGCCAUGCCGCGUGUGUGAAGAAGGUCUUUUGGUUGUAAAGCACCUUAAGCGAGGAGGAGGCUACUUAUAUUAAUACUCUAGGAUAGUGGACGUUACUCGCAAAAUAAGCACCGGCUAUCUCUGUGCCAGCAGCCGCGGUAAUACGGGGGGUGCGAGCGUUAAUCGGAUUUACUGGGCGUAAAGCGUGCGUAGGCGUCUUUUUUAAGUCGGAUGUGAAAUCCCUGAGCUUAACUUAGGAAUUGCAUUCGAUACUGGGAAGCUAGAGUAUGGGAGAGGAUGGUAGAAUUCCAGGUGUAGCGGUGAAAUGC
rnacentral:rRNA from 1 species